UACAGAGGGUGCGAGCGUUGUUCGGAAUUACUGGGCGUAAAGCGCGCGCAGGCGGCUUUUUAAGUCUGACGGUGAAAUGCCGGGGCUCAACCCCGUGCCCGCCGCGGAUACUGGGAAGCUGGAGACAUGUAGAGGCAAGCGGAAUUCCGGGUGUAGCGGUGGAAUGCGUAGAGAUCCGGAAGAACACCGGAGGCGAAGGCGGCUUGCUGGGCAUGGUCUGACGCUGAGGCGCGAAAGCGUGGGGAGCGAACAGG
rnacentral:rRNA from 1 species